rnacentral:rRNA from 1 species
UGCCAGCAGCCGCGGUAAUACGGGGGGUGCAAGCGUUGUUCGGAAUUAUUGGGCGUAAAGCGUGCGUAGGCGGACUAUUAAGUCUGAUGUGAAAUCCCUCGGCUCAACCGAGGACCUGCAUUGGAUACUGAUAGUCUUGAGUCCCGGAGAGGAUAGCGGAAUUCCUAGUGUAGAGGUGAAAUGCAUAGAUAUUACUUAGAAUACCGAUUGCGAAGGCAGUCUACUACGUGUAUACUGACGCUGAGGGACGAAAGCGUGGGGAGCGAACAGGAUUAGAUA